CGUAGGGAAGCGCCGAGCUACCGCGGCUAUUGUGUGCCGCGUUGUUGCCCUCCGCUUCCCGCUUUGGUGUCUAGGGAGGAAGGCUACGUUUCAUUGCCGCCCUCGGGCUUAACCCUUCUGGCUCCUCACAGGACAGCAAGCUUGGACUAGGAAAAACUCUCAGCAGCUGCCGGACCCGGGUAACGAAACCCUAAGGUACAAGGAAGACAGUUGAAUAGAGAGCUUGAGCGCCCAGGCUGGGAUUUCGGGCUUUGCUGGGGCGGGGCGGAGGCGCUGGCUUUAAGAAGGGGGAGGGGACAGUGCGAUCCGGGUUGCCCGCGGAGUUCGGCGUAGGAAAUCUUCAGCUAGCUCUGGAGCGAGGAGCGAGGAGCUAGGAGAGGCGGCUCCCAAUCCCAGCGCUCACCCCCGCCUACACCCUGGGCGGGCCGAAGUGUCACGUUUGCAAGUGCUCAGGAAGGAUUCGGCCCGUCUUCGGAGGCAAGCCGGUCAGGCUGCGGUUUCUGCUGCCUAUAAGGAGAGGCGAUGCCAAGCGGGUAUGCUGCUUACUAGGCAGCACCCCAUCAGGAUCCGACUGCAUUAGUAAGCCUUCACAGUCACCUGAAGCCACCGACGGGCCGCGCGUUCCUCGUACGCACCAGCCACUGCUUCCCAGGAAUCUCAUUGGAACAGAACCAUGGGGCAUCCUCCGCUGGAGUUCAGCGAUUGCUACUUGGACAGCCCCGACUUCCGUGAGAGGCUCAAGUGUUAUGAGCAGGAGCUGGAGAGGACCAAUAAAUUCAUCAAAGACGUGAUCAAAGACGGCAACGCGCUUAUCAGCGCCAUGAGAAAUUACUCCUCUGCUGUUCAGAAAUUUUCCCAGACGCUGCAGUCCUUUCAAUUUGAUUUUAUUGGAGACACUCUGACUGACGAUGAGAUUAACAUUGGUGAGUCUUCAGUUUCAUGUGGCCAUAUACCUUUCUCUCUCUCUCUUAUUUUA
rnacentral:lncRNA from 1 species